rnacentral:lncRNA from 1 species
GUGGACCCAGGAUUACUCCUUAGACACUCAAGUUUGUAAUCAUGCAGUCUACCUAGAGACAUCAACUGCCAUAUCCUCCUUAACAGUUUGAAUAAUACAUUGAAUUGCCUAACUUGGAUCAGCCCUAAACCUUUCCACAUACUUCAUGGCAAUGUAGUUAGCAUUAACAUGUCUGUUAUAGUGCUCUUUAUUGCAACUGUGAUCAAACUUUGCAGACUUGAUUUGCACAGUGUUCUUAUCAUCUGUCUUCAAGUAAGUCCAAAUAAAAAAUCCACAUCCCUUUUUGCACUUUGCUUUACAUUUUGUUUUUGUAUUUGGACCAAAAAUUACUUGAUUCCUGCUCCUUAUUGAGUAGUUCUUUACUACAUCUUUAAACUGCCUAAAAGUACUAAACAUUAUGUCUAUCUUCAAAUUAGGGUUGGCCAUAUCUGUCUCCUCAUUAAAAAUUGGCCAUUUUGUCUUCCUCGAAUCAAUAUCACUUUCAUCAGAUGAAGAGCAUGACCUAAGCUCAUCACUUGGUGCAUAAACAGUCUCAUCUGAACCCUCACCUCCAAUUAUUUCUUCAUUAACCCUUGUUUUUA